rnacentral:rRNA from 1 species
UUUCCAGACUCCUACGGGAGGCAGCAGUGGGGAAUAUUGCACAAUGGGGGAAACCCUGAUGCAGCGACGCCGCGUGAGUGAAGAAGUAAUUCGUUAUGUAAAGCUCUAUCAGCAGGGAAGAAAAUGACGGUACCUGAGUAAGAAGCCCCGGCUAACUACGUGCCAGCAGCCGCGGUAAUACGUAGGGGGCAAGCGUUAUCCGGAUUUACUGGGUGUAAAGGGAGCGUAGACGGCAGUGCAAGUCUGGAGUGAAAGGCGGGGGCUCAACCAUGGGACUGCUUUGGAAACUGUUAAGCUAGAGUGCUGGAGAGGUAAGCGGAAUUCCUAGUGUAGCGGUGAAAUGCGUAGAUAUUAGGAAGAACACCAGUGGCGAAGGCGGCUUACUGGACAGUAACUGACGUUGAGGCUCGAAAGCGUGGGGAGCAAACAGGAUUAGAUACCCUUGUAUCG